GACGAACGCUGGCGGCGUGCUUAACACAUGCAAGUCGAACGGUGAUCUUGGGAGCUUGCUCCUGGGUGAUCAGUGGCGAACGGGUGAGUAACACGUGAGUAACCUGCCCCGGACUCUGGGAUAACUUCGGGAAACCGGAGCUAAUACCGGAUAUGACCCUCGCCUGCAUGGGCUGGGGGUGGAAAGUUUUUCGGUCUGGGAUGGGCUCGCGGCCUAUCAGCUUGUUGGUGAGGUAGUGGCUCACCAAGGCGACGACGGGUAGCCGGCCUGAGAGGGCGACCGGCCACACUGGGACUGAGACACGGCCCAGACUCCUACGGGAGGCAGCAGUGGGGAAUAUUGCACAAUGGGCGCAAGCCUGAUGCAGCGACGCCGCGUGAGGGAUGACGGCCUUCGGGUUGUAAACCUCUUUCAGCAGGGAAGAAGCGUGAGUGACGGUACCUGCAGAAGAAGCACCGGCUAACUACGUGCCAGCAGCCGCGGUAAUACGUAGGGUGCGAGCGUUGUCCGGAAUUAUUGGGCGUAAAGAGCUUGUAGGCGGUUUGUCGCGUCUGCUGUGAAAAUCCGGGGCUCAACCCCGGACUUGCAGUGGGUACGGGCAGACUAGAGUGUGGUAGGGGAGACUGGAAUUCCUGGUGUAGCGGUGGAAUGCGCAGAUAUCAGGAGGAACACCGAUGGCGAAGGCAGGUCUCUGGGCCACUACUGACGCUGAGAAGCGAAAGCAUGGGGAGCGAACAGGAUUAGAUACCCUGGUAGUCCAUGCCGUAAACGUUGGGCGCUAGGUGUGGGGCUCAUUCCACGAGUUCCGUGCCGCAGCUAACGCACUAAGCGCCCCGCCUGGGGAGUACGGCCGCAAGGCUAA
rnacentral:rRNA from 1 species